AGAGUUUGAUCAUGGCUCAGGAUCAACGCUGGCGGCGUGCCUAAAACAUGCAAGUCGGACGCUCACCUUCGGCUUCGGCUGGGGGUGGGAGUGGCGGACGGCUGAGUAGCACGUGGGCGACCUGCCCUCUGGUGGGGGAUAACCGCGCGAAAGCGUGGCUAAGACCGCAUGAGCUCGGCGCUUCGGUGGGCCGAGGAAAGCAGCGAUGCGCCAGAGGAGGGGCCCGCGGCCGAUUAGCUAGUUGGUGGGGUAGCGGCCUACCAAGGCAGCGAUCGGUAGCCGGUCUGAGAGGAUGGCCGGCCAGACUGGGACUGAGAGACGGCCCAGACUCCUGCGGGAGGCAGCGGUUAGGAAUUUUGGGCAAUGGGCGCAAGCCUGACCCAGCAACGCCGCGUGGGCGACGAAGCCCUUCGGGGUGUAAAGCCCUUUUCCCAGGGACGAAUCUGACGGUACCUGGGGAAGAAGCCCCGGCUAACUACGUGCCAGCAGCCGCGGUAAUACGUAGGGGGCGAGCGUUGUCCGGAUUCAUUGGGCGUAAAGCGCGCGCAGGCGGCAGCCGGAGCCCGGCGUGAAAGCUCCCAGCUUAACUGGGAGAGGUCGUCGGGGACCCGGCAGCUCGAGGCCGGUAGGGGUGAGCGGAAUUCCCGGUGUAGUGGUGGAAUGCGUAGAGAUCGGGAGGAACACCGGUGGCGAAGGCGGCUCACUGGGCCGGUCCUGACGCUCAGGCGCGAAAGCGUGGGGAGCGAUCCGGAUUAGAUACCCGGGUAGUCCACGCUGUAAACGAUGGGUGCUAGGUGUCGGGGGUAUCGACCCCCUCGGUGCCGCAGCUAACGCGAUAAGCACCCCGCCUGGGGAGUACGGCCGCAAGGCUAAAACUCAAAUGAAUUGACGG
rnacentral:rRNA from 1 species